UAAUACAGAGGGUGCGAGCGUUGUCCGGAAUCACUGGGCGUAAAGGGCGCGUAGGUGGCGACCCAAGUCGAUGGUGAAAGCUCGCCGCUCAACGGCGAGUCGGCCACUGAUACUGGGUUGCUGGAGCACUGUAGAGGCAGAUGGAAUUCCGGGUGUAGCGGUGGAAUGCGUAGAGAUCCGGAAGAACACCGGUGGCGAAGGCGGUCUGCUGGGCAGUUGCUGACACUGAGGCGCGACAGCGUGGGGAGCAAACAGGAUUAGAUACCCUGGUAGUCCACGCCGUAAACGAUGGGCACUAGAUGCUUGGGGGAGCGACCCCCUGAGUGUCGCCGCUAACGCAGUAAGUGCCCCGCCUGGGGAGUACGGCCGCAAGGCUG
rnacentral:rRNA from 1 species